GGCUAUAUGACGUUGAAAACACCGAUUCUCGUUCGAUCAUCGAAGUUAAGCAACGUCAAGCCUGGUCAGUAUCUAGAUGGGUAACCGCUUGAGAAUACCAAGUCCUGUA